GCCUCGUUGGCGCAGUUAGGCAGCGCGUCAGUCUCAUAAUCUGAAGGUCGUGAGUUCGACCUCACACGGGGCA